GUGCUCACUUCUGCAGCACACGUACUAAAAUGGAGUGAUGCAGAGAAGAUUAGCAUGGCACCUGCACAAGGAGGGCAUGCAAAUUCAUGAAUGUUCCAUAUUUUU
ensembl:snRNA U6 U6 spliceosomal RNA